UACAGAGGUCUCAAGCGUUGUUCGGAUUCAUUGGGCGUAAAGGGUGUGUAGGUGGCGCGCUAAGUCGGGUGUGAAAUUUCGGAGCUUAACUCCCGAAACUGCAUUCGAUACUGGCGUGCUUGAGGACUGGAGAGGAGACUGGAAUUCAUGGUGUAGCAGUGAAAUGCGUAGAGAUCAUGAGGAAGACCAGUGGCGAAGGCGGGUCUCUGGACAGUUCCUGACACUGAGACACGAAGGCCAGGGGAGCAAACGGG
rnacentral:rRNA from 1 species